rnacentral:rRNA from 1 species
AUGCAAGUGUUAUCCGGAAUCACUGGGCGUAAACGUCUGUAGGUUGUUGUUUAAGUCAACUGUUAAAUCUUGAAGCUCAACUUCGAAAUCGCAGUCGAAACUAUUCAACUAGAGUAUAGUAGGGGUAAAGGGAAUUUCCAGUGGAGCGGUGAAAUGCGUAGAUAUUGGAAAGAACACCGAUGGCGAAGGCACUUUACUGGGCUACUACUGACACUCAGAGACGAAAGCUAGGGUAGCAAAUGGGAUUAGAUACCCCAGUAGUCCUAGCUGUAAACAAUGGAUACUAGAUGUUGAACAGAUCGACCUGUGCAGUAUCAAAGCUAACGCGUUAAGUAUCCCGCCUGGGAAGUAUGCUCGCAAGAUGAAACUCAAAUGGAAUU